CCCCGCUCGUCACUUCCGGUACAGAACUUCCGCUUCCGGGUGUGAAGCCUAGCCGAGGUUUGCCUAAGCGGGUCUCGGUUCCUUCCUUCCUUCCCUUCUUUUUUUCUUCCUUUCUUCCCUGAGAGUCCGGUCCGUCGCCGCUGCCAUGUCGCCCAGUGCUGAGGUCGGCCGCGCAAACGACUCGUCACGACUUUGAAGACAGCAGAGGAAGAAACACAUUCUGCCCACUGGAGCAUUUUGAAAAGACAUCCAUGGAAGAGGUACAAGAUUUAGAGGAACAGCCUAUGAAAAAAGCCAAGAUGCAGGAAUCAGGCGAACAGCUGUUAAGGCAAGUGAACAGCACAGACGAUAGUGAUCAGAAACCUGAAUCCUCGAGCCUUGGUUCAAACCUGUCCAUGUCCAAUGAAAUUAUGCCAUGCACUGAUUACAUCUCAAGGUCAUCAAAUGAAUAUACCUCACAGAUGUAUUCUGCAAAGCCAUAUGCACAUAUUCUUUCUGUACCUGUAUCGGAAACGAUGGCCUCUUAUUCUGGUCAGACUCAGUACCAAGCACUGCAGCAGUCGCAGACAUACGCUGUUUAUCCUCAGACAACCCAAGCCUAUGGACUACCUCCUUUUGGUGCACUGUGGCCAGGUAUGAAACCUGAGAGUGGUUUAAUUCAGACUCCAUCUCCAAGUCAGCACAGUGUUCUUACCUGCACUACAGGGUUAACCACAAGCCAAUCCAGCCCAGCACAUUAUUCUUAUCCUAUUCAAGCUUCAAGUACCAACGCCAACUCAGUUUCCACCACCUCACCUGCUGUCAAUAUUUCAGCAUCAGCAGUAGCCAGCAUCUCUCAACAGGAGUAUCCUACAUAUACAAUUCUUGGCCAAAGUCAAUACCAGCCAUAUUACUCAAGUUCAAGCUUUGGAGUUGUAGCACCAGCAGACAGCAGCACAGAGAGUCCCACCUUAGCAACAACCACGUAUCCUUCUGAAAAACCAAAUGCCAUGGUGCCUACUCAGACGGCGCAGAGACAUUCCUCUGGAGACCCAUCUACAAGUCCAUCAUUGCUGAGAGCGACAGCUAGUAAGGAUGUAGAGGAGCAGUCCAGGAAAAACGUGACUGGGAAAAACAGAGGGAAGAGGAAAGCAGACGCUUCUUCACCACAGGACAAUGAGCUUGAACGAGUGUUCCUAUGGGACUUGGAUGAGACCAUCAUAAUAUUUCAUUCUCUUCUAACAGGAUCAUAUGCCCAGAAAUACGGGAAGGAUCCAACUCUAGUGAUUAGCUCUGGUUUGACCAUGGAAGAAAUGAUUUUUGAAGUUGCCGACACACACUUAUUUUUCAAUGACUUAGAGGAGUGUGACCAAGUUCACGUGGAAGAUGUUGCAUCAGAUGACAAUGGGCAAGAUUUAAGCAACUACAAUUUUUCCACGGAUGGCUUCAGUGGCUCAGGAAGUAACGCCAAUCAUGGUUCAGCGGGAGUCCAGGGUGGAGUGGAUUGGAUGAGGAAGCUGGCUUUCCGCUAUAGGAAGGUGCGCGAGGUCUAUGACAAAUACAAAAGCAACGUAGUAGCCCUUCUCAGCCCAGAAAAGAAGGAGGCUUUGCAGAGAUUAAGGGAAGACAUAGAAAUGUUAACAGAUUCCUGGUUGGGAACAGCGUUAAAGUCCCUGCUGCUCAUCCAGUCAAGAAAGAAUUGUGUGAAUGUUCUGAUAACGACUACUCAGCUGGUGCCGGCUCUGGCCAAAGUUCUGCUGUAUGGAUUAGGUGACGUGUUCCCAAUUGAAAAUAUUUAUAGCGCAACAAAAAUAGGUAAAGAGAGCUGUUUUGAAAGGAUUAUCUCUCGGUUUGGGAAGAAGGUGACAUAUGUGGUGAUUGGAGAUGGGCGUGAUGAAGAGAUGGCAGCCAAACAGCACAACAUGCCCUUCUGGAGAAUCACAAAUCACGCCGAUCUGGUGUCGCUCCACCAGGCCCUCGAACUGGACUUUCUGUGAGGAGCUGAGCAGCAGGCAGUCCGGCACAGCUCCUGACAGCCCCAUCUUGGCAAGAGCAGACUUGGGGACUUCCUUUUUCAUCCAGACAAAGCAAUGUAGCUAACGGAAGUGUACAGUAGGAGGCGCCACAGCGUCGUUAUUCCCAGGAGAGCCACCCAAGCCUUUCACUGCUGUCUGCGUUUGGGCAAGGGGAAUUUGAGGAGGAGACCCAAAACAGAGCAUCCUGGCUAGGAAUCUCCAGCAGUACAGACCUAACCCACUGUGCAACCUUUGGUGUGUUUGCAGAAAGAGUAGCGGGCAGGGAUUUGUUAAGCCACCAGGAAACUGACCAUUGUUGCCCUGAGUUUUGUUUUACUUGGCGGAACUGUUUCGAAUGCCUUCAAGAUUUCAGAAGACCUUCGGCUAACGUGUGUGAAGCUUUGUUUUUGCAUCAGAUACCAAUAUUUAUAUAGUGUCCUCUCUGAUGUUUCCUAACCCACUCAGGGGAUGGUACAUUUUCUGUGUUAACAUUAAUAAAGAUUGUCCUGGCUCUUGUUAUCAUUGAA